UGAUACUCGGUAACAGGGUAACUUAACUUUAGCACAAUGUACGGGUUGUUUUACUUCGUAGAUGGGUCCGUUAUUACAGAUAGUACAUCUAUUAUACAGGAUGCAUAUAGAAAUGUAACGUUAGGUAUUAGUCACCUGCAAGGAAGACCUCCAGUCCAAGCAUGGCUGGAUAGAGGCGAUAUUACGGAAGCCGGUCGCAGCCAAACUCCUGUUCUUGGUGGAAAACUACAAAGAAGUGGUCGAGAAGCGUGUUGCUUUCCUCCAGGGGGAGGAUGUAUGGUCUUCCUUUGGAGAAGGGGAUGAUGAAGGAAGGAAUGAGCUCUGGUUCACAGAUGGCCAAGAUGGAUGAGGUGCUGAAGAGGGACCUCAAACGGCAACGUACAGCACAAGUCGAGUCUGAUUCCGACGACACGUGUUGCGACAUGUUUGAUCAACCCAAAAAACGUAAACCGGUGGUUGUGACCAGUGACGAGGAGGACGCCAUCCCUCAGGUGGAGUCUCAGCGGCC